UACGAAGGGGGCUAGCGUUGCUCGGAAUCACUGGGCGUAAAGCGCACGUAGGCGGCUUUUUAAGUCAGGGGUGAAAUCCUGGAGCUCAACUCCAGAACUGCCUUUGAUACUGAGAGCUUGAGUCCGGGAGAGGUGAGUGGAACUGCGAGUGUAGAGGUGAAAUUCGUAGAUAUUCGCAAGAACACCAGUGGCGAAGGCGGCUCACUGGCCCGGUACUGACGCUGAGACGCGAAAGCGUGGGGAGCGAACAGG
rnacentral:rRNA from 1 species